GACGAACGCUGGCGGCGCGCUUAACACAUGCAAGUCGAGCGAAGCUGCGGACGGGUGAGUACCACGUGAGUAACCUUCCUUCGACAUUGGGAUAGCCUCGGGAAACCGGGAUUAAUACCAAAUGGUCUAAGAUGGACUCGGGUCCCAUUAGCUAGUUGGUGGGUAACGGAACACCAAGGCGACGAUGGGUAGCCGGGCUGGGAGGGUGAACGGCUACAUUGGAACUGAGACACGGUCCAAAAUCGACGGGAGGCAGCAGUGGGGAGUAUAGCACAAGGGAGGGAACUCUGAUGCAGCGACGCCGGGGGAACGAAGAAGGCUUUUGAGUCGUAAAGUUCUUUUAUAUGGGAAGCGGGACCAUGAGAAAAAGCCCCGGCUAACUACGGGCCAGCAGCCGCGGUAAUAC
rnacentral:rRNA from 1 species